UAAGCCUAAUGUACUGAAAAUGUAAACCCUAAUUCACGUCACUCGAACCUUCUCUCAGAGCUCUCGUUUCUCUCGAGCUCUCGUCUCUGAGAGGCCUGUACCCUCACUCGAGCUUUCGUUUCUCGCUUCACUCCAUCUCUUCUCUCUCGAACCUUCACUUCACCUUGUGUUUCUUCUCCCUAAAAAAUCAAAUCUCUCUCACUUAAACCCUCAGAACCCUAGUCUUCUCUGUGCAUGUCUCCUUCGCAUUGGAGUUAUCCCGAAACCCUAGCCUUCACCGUGUGGAGAUGGUGGGAACGAUAGUGGCGAGACUGCAGGGGAUGCGGAGAGGAAGCAGGUGGUCUAGGAGGCGUUCCUUUCCCUGGUGCUAGUUCUCAAUUUGGGCUUUUUGCACACCGUCUUCUACGCUUUCUUUUACACGACCUUGGAUAUAAAGAGAUGGAUGAAGUGAAAGGUAUUAGUCUUUUACCAUAUGGAUGAUGGUUGUUUGAUUUUUUGCUGGUAGAUAUGUCUACUUUUAAUGUUUAACCAUUUAAUAUUUGAUUGAGUUUUGUAACGAAGAGAGGGGAUUGUUAAAAGAAGCGAUCUCGUGAUAGCAGCAAAAGGCGCUUUAUUAUGUUACCCCUACCAAUCACAGUAAUGCCUCAAAGUGAAACAAGCUUUAUUAUGUUACCCCUACCAACUUCGAAAUUUAUUUUCCAGAACACAAUAAAUAAUUUUAGAAGUUUUGUUUUUGGAAAUUUUUUCCAGAAGCGAAUCAAUCCCUCUUUUUACUGAAAGCAUUUUCCAAAAGCAUUUUGAUGGGGUGGGAGUUUACCUAUUUAUUAUUCAUUACAUAACCCUAAAUGGAUUCGUUUUGCCAUAUGCAUCCAACAAAUUACAGAAGCAUCCUCUAUAGCAAGGGUUGUUAUAGUGAAAAAGGCAGGUUCUGCAAAAAAAAAAAUCUAUGGCCCAAAAUCUGUGUGAACUAGUUGAAUCAAGCAUUACACUCGGCCAAAAUUAUAGCUAAUAAUCUGGUUGCAACUCUUUCUACUAGAGAAUAUAACAGUCCAAAACGUCAUAAGAUUAUGACUUGAUCCACCUUGCCUACCACCAACAACAAUCUCCCUCUUAGUAAUUAUGAUGCAGGGCCUGACAGUUAGUACCUUUCAGGUUGUUUUAGUCCCAACGGUUGUGGGAGUUUUGGCAAAUGAGUUUUUUCCUAAGUUCACUUCAAAGAUAAUCAUUGUCUGUGCUCUGGAAUUAGUCGGAGGAGCUAUCUGCAAAGUUGUUGGAAUUUUUGGAGUCCCCACAUGCUACAAUUGACAUUCUACUUGCUGAUAUAGAGCAGAUGUUAACAGGAGGUACCUUGCUGCUAAGGGAUAAAUAUUUCAUUGUUAUAUACUGUGUGAAAGACUUCGUUCCAACAAGUGUGGCUGCUAUUUUAGCUGAAAGAGAGGAAAUGACAAAUCAAGUAUAGGAUGUUGAAGAGAAGUUCCAGUGCAGAGCAGUUGGUGCAAUUCCAUCAGGGUAAGGUGAAGCAACAGCACAGGCUNGGACUCUAGCAGAGUUCUACGAGGCCCAGGCUCGAUGGGAAAGGAAAUAUCUCCUGUAGUAGACCUCACAUGUAGGCAUAAGCUACUGUUGUCAAUGGCAUAAACGAUUUUUUGAACCACAGGUAUGAUCAUCCUCUUUUGGUCGAGGCAAGGGAGAAAACGGAAUGGGUUCUCCCAAUUAGUGUACAUGCUCNACCACCAAGAGCUCCUGCUUCUGCUUCUGCCACAAGAAGCGAAAAACUUUUCUCUUUGGAUCCUAUGUGGGUACACAAUUGAAGUUAAAUUAAGAUGAAGCUGAAAUAUGGUAACCGACCAUUGUAGCCUUUUAUACGCCUCAAGCUUCAAUUCUUUAAAUGUACAAAAUUUUCACAAAAUAACAGCCAGUGAAAUGUCAGAAUGAUCAUUUGUAGCAUACCAGANUUCCANCAAUUUNUCGUGGUUGGUUUANCUGAAAUGUGNCAGAGGUCUUUUGAGUAUAGUAUUUCUUCUCAUUUCAUGUUUUUUUCAUAUUUGCCUUCAGUGCCAGGUGAUUUAUGUCCCAUAGUUAAUCCGGUUAAUUAAUUUGCUUUUAUAAUUUNUAACUCAAAAGGGGUUUUAGUAGAUUGUUUGAAUCAUUGUUUUGUUGUGGUUACUAAAUCAUUAGUUAGGGAUAGAAGGGUAUAAAUUGGUGCCUUAGAAUUGUUGGUUUCAAUCUCUUGGACUUAUUGGAUGAAUAAUGUUAAGUUUGCUUUGUACACUUAUUUUUAACUUUUAUAUGUUUUGUAUUUGUAUUUGUUUUUGGUGAUGUUAAUGUAUUUGUAUUUGUUACAUUAAUUAAAAAUUUAGAUAUUAGUA